rnacentral:lncRNA from 12 species
AAGGAAAGGAAAUGCUCCAAAAGAGACCAAUAAGACUCUUCAAAGAAGAAAGCAUUGGCAACAGAAACUAUAGUCUCUCCCACCUCAUAGACAUGAGAAGAGCUCUGUAAAUUAUCUGAAUAUUUUUGCCAAGAGAUGCAAAAGACUAGCACAGCUGAGCUACACUGGUUGGAGGGACCCAAAGAGAGGCAGGAGCCCACUGUGCUGUCCCUUGGGACAUGAUGAUAGCAGCUGCUGAGUAUGAAAUAAACUCCCAUCGUGUCAGUUAAGCUAGCACCUCAGGAAAGAAGCAAAAUACAAGAUACUGAAGAUUCAAGAAGGAGAAAGGCAUUCAGCAAGGAAAACUCUUCAGAGGAGGAAACACUUCAGUUGGCUUUUGACAGGAAAAUGAGUUCUGAUGAUCCUAAAAAGGGGAAGGCAAUGGGGACAGCACUCAGUAAAGGGAUAUGGCUCUGAUCCUCCCAUGUCUCCUCUCCUUCACCCUGGAACCCAGGCCAGCAGUAGAAGCCAGUGUCCUAGAAGGAGCUCCACCUUGAGAAGUUCUGCUUCCAUCGGGGGCUUCUCGACCCUGGAGUGAACCCUCAAAGAACAGACACCCAGUCUGUCUGCUGGCUCUUCCUCAGAAGAACUUUCCUAUUUGCUCUGUGAUCUUACCAUCACUGCCCAGGAAGAGGUGGGCCAGGCAAGCAAAGAGGUCUCCAAGGCCCAGAAGAGGUUUGAAGCUUCUGUUUGGCUCACAUUCACCCAUUCCAUCAUUUUUAAGAAAACUUUCCACAAAUGAGAUGCUUAUGGAAGCAUAUCAUAGACUACUAUCCAAACACAGUAAUUGUUACUAUUUUUCUACCAUAUUGUAAAUCCCUUUCUGGGUGGAGACUCCAGCUUAUUAAUCUUUGAAUCCUUAGGACUUGGCACAGCAUCUGGUUCACAAUAAAUCCUCAAAACACACAUUGAAUGAAUGAAUG